rnacentral:rRNA from 1 species
UACGGGGGGAGCAAGCGUUGUUCGGAUUUACUGGGCGUAAAGGGGCGCGUAGGCGGUCAGCACAAGUCAGUUGUGAAAUCUCCGAGCUUAACUCGGAAAGGUCAACUGAUACUGUGCGACUAGAGUGCAGAAGGGGCAACUGGAAUUCUUGGUGUAGCGGUGAAAUGCGCAGAUAUCAGGAGGAACACCUAUUGCGAAGGCAGCUCGCUGGGACGUAACUGACGCUGAGACGCGAAAGCGUGGGGGAGCGAACAGG